rnacentral:snRNA from 1 species
GUGUUCGCUUCAGCAGCACAUAUACUAAAAUUGGAAUGAUGCAGAGAAGAUUAGCACAGCCCCUGUGCAAGGAUGACAUGCAAAUUAGUGAAGUGUUUCAUAUUUUU